ACUUUCCUUGAUUUUCUAGUAUUGUCAGGUCAUGUCUGAACCUGUUGUUAAAACUCCCUUUCAUAUUUUCCAAGUAUUGCCAGGUCAUCUAUGAACCUGUUGUUGAAACACUUUGUAUAUUCCAAUGAUGUCAGGUCAUGUAUGAGCAUGUUGAUGGAACUUUCUUUGUAUGUUUCCAGUAUUGUUAGGUCAUAUUUGAACAUGUCAAUGGAACCUUUUG
rnacentral:lncRNA from 1 species